AACGAACGCUGGCGGCAGGCCUAACACAUGCAAGUCGAGCGAGGACUUCGGUUCUAGCGGCGGACGGGUGAGUAACGCGUGGGAAUGUGCCCUUCUCUACGGAAUAGCCCUGGGAAACUGGGAGUAAUACCGUAUACGCCCUAUUGGGGAAAGAUUUCUCGGAGAAGGAGCAGCCCGCGUUGUAUUAGGUAGUUGGUGGGGUAAUGGCCUACCAAGCCGACGAUCCAUAGCUGGUUUGAGAGGAUGAUCAGCCACACUGGGACUGAGCCACGGCCCAGACUCCUACGGGAGGCAGCAGUGGGGAAUCUUAGACAACGGGGGCAACCCUGAACUAGCCAUGCCGCGUGAGUGAUGAAGGCCUUAGGGUUGUAAAGCUCUUUCAGCUGGGAAGAUACUGACGGUACCAGCAGAAGAAGCCCCGGCUAACUCCGUG
rnacentral:rRNA from 1 species